rnacentral:rRNA from 1 species
GACGAACGCUGGCGGCGUGCCUAAUACAUGCAAGUCGAACGCAGUGGGGACGGGUGAGUAACACGUGGGUAACCUCCCAUCAGAGGGGAUAACACUUGGAAACAGGUGCUAAACCGAUACUGAUGGAUGGAUCCGCGGUGCAUUAGCUAGUUGGUGAGGUAACGGCUCACCAAGGCCACGAUGCAUAGCCGACCUGAGAGGGUGAUCGGCCACACUGGGACUGAGACACGGCCCAGACUCCUACGGGAGGCAGCAGUAGGGAAGCUUCGGCAAUGGACGAAAGUCUGACCGAGCAAAGCCGCGUGAGUGAAGAAGGUUUUCGGAUCGUAAAGCUCUGUUAAGCGGGACGCGGUACCGGAAUAGAAAGCCACGGCUAACUACGUGCCAGCAGCCGCGGUAAUAC